rnacentral:rRNA from 1 species
UACGUAGGGGGCUAGCGUUGUCCGGAAUCAUUGGGCGUAAAGCGCGUGUAGGCGGUUCGGCAAGUCCGCUGUGAAAGUCGGGGGCUCAACCCUCGGAUGCCGGUGGAUACUGUCGAGCUUGAGUACGGAAGAGGCGAGUGGAAUUCCUGGUGUAGCGGUGAAAUGCGCAGAUAUCAGGAGGAACACCAAUUGCGAAGGCAGCUCGCUGGGACGUUACUGACGCUGAGACGCGAAAGCGUGGGGAGCAAACAGG